rnacentral:rRNA from 1 species
AACGCGAAGAACCUUACCUACCCUUGACAUGCCAGGAACCUCGCAGAGAUGUGAGGGUGCCCGAAAGGGAACCUGGACACAGGUGCUGCAUGGCUGUCGUCAGCUCGUGUCGUGAGAUGUUGGGUUAAGUCCCGCAACGAGCGCAACCCUUGCCAUUAGUUGCUACAUUCAGUUGGGCACUCUAAUGGGACUGCCGGUGACAAACCGGAGGAAGGUGGGGAUGACGUCAAGUCCUCAUGGCCCUUAUGGGUAGGGCUUCACACGUAAUACAAUGGCGCAUACAGAGGGCUGCAAACCCGCGAGGGGGAGCCAAUCCCAAAAAGUGCGUCGUAGUCCGGAUUGUUCUCUGCAACUCGAGAGCAUGAAGUCGGAAUCGCUAGUAAUCGCGGAUCAGCAUGUCGCGGUGAAUACGUUCCCGGGUCUUGUACACACCNCCU